rnacentral:rRNA from 1 species
AUGGUCUACUUAAGAUUACAGCCAUGUGCUCAAUCUACGGUGGUAAAUCGUCCGUGUCACAAGCUUGCUCUCAAAUACUUUGGCCCUUACAAAAUUCUGGACAAGGUGGGAAAUGCAGCAUAUCGUUUGGAGUUACCUAGAGGGAGCCAAGUACACCCAGUCUUCCAUGUCUCACAGCUAAAGGGACACAUUCCAGAUCACACCCCAGUGUUCACCUCUUUACCAGUACCAGUGGAUCUAUCACUGCCAGGUGUGGUGCCUGAGGAAAUUCUUGAUCGACGGCUGGUUAAGAAGAAGAACGCAGCACACUUACAGAUCCUGGUGAAGUGGGCGACGCUGCCUGCUGCAUCCGCAACCUGGGAGGAUUACAACAUUCUCAAGUUGAAGUUUCCAAAUGCACCAGUUUGGGGACAACCUGGUUCUCUAGGGGACGGUACUGUAAGCAGUCCAGAGCAGACGAUCGGGAGGACUAAGUCUUCAGGCGGGACAAAGCAGAGUUAA